CUCAGAUACACAGAGAGCUGACUGAAGCUCAGGUCUGUUUCUCUCUAACUGUCAUGAUGUUUGGGCUAAAUCAUACAGCGCUUUUCUUCAUCCAGGCUUUAGUGAUGUGGUAUGCCUUUGCAGGUAUUCCUAAAGAAGACCACAGAGUUAUGUUGCUGUCCAGAGGACACUCAGUGAUGUUGACUUGCAACAGAUCUACAAAAAAUGCAUCACUAAUCACCUAGACCAAAGGCAGAUCUGUUUUUAAAUAUUCCAUUUCAAAUAAUCGCACCAUUUCAAAUUUCUCAUAUCACAGACUGAAAAUAAAUCACGAGUUACCUUCAAAGCUGAUUAUUUUUAGUGCUCAGCCUGAAGAUGAAGGACUUUAUAGAUGUAACAUAACUGACAGAAGUGGCCUAAACAGCAUUAUAUGGAACUUAACUGUGUCUAAAAACCAUACAGAAUCCUUUUCAUUAAAGGAUUUUCUCUACAUACUCCCACCUGCAAUUGGAAUCGCUCUAUGUUGCAUCACACUAUAUGUCUUCCUCUGCAGAAAAGGUAUAAAGAGGACACCCAAUCAGGAUCCAGUCCAAGAGCCCCCUCAGUCAGAAGAGGAGGCCACUGCUCAAUGGAAAAAUAACAAGCGGAGGAGUCAGUAUACAGAGAAGCUGAAUUCAAUCUAUGAUCACUUCUGAGCUGAUGAGGCAUCCACAUAUAAAGUCACACAGAGACAAGGACAUUUGUCAGAUUCAAAGGAGGGACUGCAAGGGAAUGCUAUUAGAGGGAAGACAACACAACUACUGCAGCCCCUUCAGCUCAGGCACACAGCUGUGAGCACAGCAGUUCCAACCACUCACAACUGAUCCUGCUUAACAAGGAAGGGGAACAUGAACUAAAGCUGUUGUUUCAGAGACAAGAUGAACUGCAGGUCUACACCAAAGCCCAGUAUCAGAUAAAUAACUAUUACUUAUCUUAUACUAUUAUCUGAAACUGUGAGUCAGGCUCUUUUAGAGUCCGAGUGUAGAAGCAGAGCAAGAAAUCGGCCUUCAAGGUUUGCUUAAGUAUCUUUGAGGGUAGUUAGUUUGACUGAACUUUCUUUUGCACUAUGAGCUCACAAAAGCAUUUAAAAUGUUCAUGUUAUUCGGGCGCCUGAGUGGCUUAGUGGUGAAGCCGGCGACCACAUACAUAUGCCGCAUUGCUGUGCGGGUUCGCGUCCCGGCCUG